AAUAGAUUAGCUUAGGGGUAGGUUAGACAGCUUCUCUAGGUAGGAACUUUGCUGUACUUGCUUCCAUCAAUACGUAUAAGUCUUGCUAUCGUUGGUUUCCUCGCUACACAGACUUGCUUUUCGUAAUAUGUUGGGUAAGAUUAACUAAGGUUGCUUGUCUUGUCAGGAGCUCCACGUAUAACUUGUCUUCCUAUCGUUGGUUUCCUCGCUACAUAGACUUGCUUUUCGUAAUAAGUUAGUUUAGAUCAGCUAAGGUUGCUUGUCUUGU